rnacentral:misc_RNA from 1 species
GUACGACAGAUGCUCAAAGUUGCAGCUGAGUGCCAUUUACAUGGUUUGGUGCAUCGUGAUAUGAAACCUGAGAAUUUUCUCUUUAAGUCUACAAAGGAGGAUUCACCAUUAAAAGCGACGGAUUUUGGUCUUUCAGACUUCAUCAGACCAGGGAAAAAGUUCCAAGACAUUGUCGGCAGUGCAUAUUAUGUAGCUCCAGAGGUAUUAAAGCGUAGAUCAGGACCUGAAUCAGAUGUAUGGAGUAUUGGCGUAAUUACAUACAUUUUGCUAUGUGGUCGUCGGCCUUUCUGGGACAAAACUGAGGAUGGUAUAUUCAAAGAGGUCCUACGGAACAAGCCUGAUUUUCGUCGCAAGCCAUGGUCUAACAUAAGCAACAGUGCUAAAGAUUUUGUAAAGAAAAUACUGGUGAAGGAUCCUCGCGCUAGACUUACUGCUGCUCAGGCCCUAUCACAUCCAUGGGUCCGAGAAGGAGGGGAUGCAUCUGAGAUUCCACUGGACAUUUCUGUUUUAUCCAACAUGCGGCAAUUUGUCAAAUACAGUCGUCUAAAACAGUUUGCUUUACGUGCGUUAGCUAGCACACUUGAUGAGGAGGAGAUCGCUGAUCUGCGGGAUCAAUUUUCUGCAAUUGAUGUGGAUAAGAAUGGUGUCAUCAGUCUCGAAGAAAUGAGACAGGCCCUUGCAAAGGAUCUCCCAUGGAAAAUGAAAGAAUCACGAGUUCUUGAGAUUCUUCAAGCG